UUCUGGUUCACUGGAGGCAUAGUAACCGAAGAUGAUGGGUUGAAUCAACUGCAUUUCUUCACCUCCAGCAGCCACAUCAGAUACUAAAUGCUGGCCUGGGGUAAGAUGGCUUGGUGACAGGAAGACUGUGGUGGAGGAGGACCUCAAUAUAACUGCUGCAGCCAGAUGCUGGUGUCUUAUUGCACAAGUAAUGCGGAAAGUAUUUCCUGAUCAGAGUCGUUAAAAAGGAUCCAAGCAGAA